AAGUCGUAACAAGGUCUCCGUAGGUGAACCUGCGGAGGGAUCAUUACCGAGAGAGGGCGCCUCGCGCGCCCGACCUCCCAACCCUUGUCGAACCGUACCGCGUUGCCUCGGGGUGCCCUAGCCGGGCGCCCCAGAGGACGUCUCACCGAAACCCUGCGUCUCCUGCGUCGGAGUCAUGAUAUUGAAUCAAUCAAAACUUUCAACAACGGAUCUCUUGGUUCUGGCAUCGAUGAAGAACGCAGCGAAAUGCGAUAAGUAAUGUGAAUUGCAGAAUUCAGUGAAUCAUCGAAUCUUUGAACGCACAUUGCGCCCCCUGGCAUUCCGGGGGGCAUGCCCGUUCGAGCGUCAUUACACCACUCAAGCCUGGCUUGGUAUUGGGCGUCGGGAUGCCCCCCGCGCCUCCAUGUUGUUCGGCUGGACGGUCUGGAAUCUCAGCGUUGUGCAAUCAAUCCGCUGCGGGACUGACCGGACGCGCCGUUGAAAACGUUCAUCACAGGUUGACCUCAGAUCGGGUAGGGAUACCCGCUGAACUUAA
rnacentral:rRNA from 1 species